AUCCUCUCUUUUCUUUUUUCUUUUCUCUCCUGUCCCUCCAAAUCAACCCUAUCAAACACACCCUUGGGGAUUCAGAAUGUGGAAAGAGAGAGACCCGAAUCUCUCAUCUAUCGAUUUCAACCGUGUUGAUGCCAGUAAUUUGAGGAAAGAAAGCUUGAUUUCCUAAACUCGUCUUUCUCAGAUUGGGCUCCCUACGGUGUCGAUCAUUCCGUUACCGACCAGCGAAGAGGUUAGGGUUUUCAACUAGCGACCAAAAAUUGAAGUUGAGGAGAGCCACCAUGGACGACGUCUCUGAGGAAGAAAAGAAGUAGCCUUGGUGGGUAUUGCUGUAUUUAUUGGCCUGAACUAGCUUUUGUUACAAGAAGGGAGAACCAACCCCUUCAUUAAGUGCCAGGUUACUCGACAAAAUAAUUAAGCAAAUAGUGAUGGAUAAAGAAUGGAUGCACACGACUUACAGGAUUGAUUAUCACCAGUUCAUUAGUAGCUGAAGAAUCAGAAUUUCUAUGAUUUCAGUCUACAACAAAGCUACUUUUUUGGAUUUCGUAUCGUGGAUUUUGCAGCUACUUCCUUGGAUUUUGUACAGUGAGGUGGUUUUUUAACAAGUGCAGACUGAAACUCAAGUGUUUGAAGGUUUAUCAAUUUUUCAACAGAAGUGUUAAGAAAUUGAUGAUUUUCUUGGCAAAUGGAUUUACUUCCUUUUUUGGAACAUUGAUAAAUGUUGAAUUGUUUUGGUACAUUGAUUAUGAUGAAUUGUAAAAAUGUAUGAAUUGUAAAAAUGUUUUAACUCUUUUGAUAUAUUUUAUGGGAUAUGUAUGUUUUCUGAAUUGAAUUAUAGCUGAAAGUUAUGUGAA